UAAAUGAAAGAGUGUUACGUUUUCAAAGUACCGGUGAGGUGACUGCUUAUUAAUACGUUUAAAUAAGCAGCCGACGUAAAUAGUGACCUUUCACUUUUGAGAGCCUUUGUUAUCUGCUGCUAAUAUUAGCAUGUGAGACGUGCUAGCCAAGAUGGACGGGCUGCUUUCAGGCUUAUCUCUGCCAUAAACGGUCAGAACAAAGACAUGCAAGCAGACCAAACAGCAGCAACUCAUGGGUGCUGCUGCAGUAACAGCAGCUCCAGCGCUGCGCCGAGGACACAUAAAACAUGAUGCACCGAGAAAUAACGACAAACUCACAAAUCCAAGAGCCUUCAUUCCAAGCUGAAACCUGUGUUCCCCAACCCUGGUCCUCAAGGCCCACUACCCUGCAUGUUUUAG